GUUUGGUUUUUCAAGGAAACUCGUUUAAACAAGGUUUGCUGUUUCCUGAAAAGGUCACAAUUUUAGCCAUUACUGAAUUCGUUUUCUGAUGAAUGUGGAAAUGCAGAGACUGUGGUACAUCUGUUUCACGAAGAUCUGAGCUACUUAAACAUUAUAAGCUUGAACACAGACAUUAUGGACGUCACCAGUCCUAUCGCUGCAUCUAUUUCAACUGU